rnacentral:rRNA from 1 species
UCGACCGCCUGGGGAGUACGGCCGCAAGGUUAAAACUCAAAUGAAUUGACGGGGGCCCGCACAAGCGGUGGAGCAUGUGGUUUAAUUCGAUGCAACGCGAAGAACCUUACCUGGUCUUGACAUCCACGGAAGUUUUCAGAGAUGAGAAUGUGCCUUCGGGAACCGUGAGACAGGUGCUGCAUGGCUGUCGUCAGCUCGUGUUGUGAAAUGUUGGGUUAAGUCCCGCAACGAGCGCAACCCUUAUCCUUUGUUGCCAGCGGU